rnacentral:rRNA from 1 species
AGAAUGAACGCUAGCGAUAUGCUUAACACAUGCAAGUUGAACGUUGUUUUCGAAUCAGAAUGAGAACAAAGUAGCGAACGGGUGCGUAACACGUGGGAAUCUGCCGAACAGUUUGGGCCAAAUCCCGAAUGAAUAAAAGCUAAAAAGCGCUGUUUGAUGAGCCCACGUAGUAUUAGGUAGUUGGUUAGGUAAAAGCUGACCAAGCCUACGAUGCUUAGCUGGUCUUUUCGGAUGAUCAGCCACACUGGGACUGAGACACGGCCCCAGACUCCUACGGGAGGCAGCAGUGGGGAAUCUUGGACAAUGGGCGAAAGCCUGAUCCGGCAAUAUGGCGUGAGUGAAGAAGGGCAACGCAGCUUGUAAAGCUCUUUCAUCGAGUGUGCGAUUGUGACAAGACUCGAAUAAGAAGCCCCGGCUAACCUCCGUGCCAGCAGCCGC